GACAGAGGUGCCAAGCGUUAGGCGGAAUCACUGGGCUUAAAGCGUGUGUAGGCGGGUCGUUAAGUGUCUUGUGAAAUCCCCCGGCUCAACCGGGGAAUGGCUGGGCAUACUGGCGAUCUUGAGCAGUCUAGGGGCAGAUGGAACAGACGGAGGAGCGGUGAAAUGCGUAGAUAUCGUCUGGAACGCCAAAGGUGAAAACAGUCUGCUGGGGACUUGCUGACGCUGAGACACGAAAGCCAGGGGAGCGAACGGG
rnacentral:rRNA from 1 species